UCACCCAGCUCUUGCUCUGAGAUCCAUGACAACACUUGCUCCCCGUGCCUUUCUUCUCGAGGCAUUGAGCCAACACGGUAUUGGCAAGAGAGAGAAACACAAAAGGAAUCCAUGUAACGCUGCAGAGGGUACGUGUUCCAUCAGCCUCCACCUGAAAACCUGCCUUGGUUUUUAGCUGAAACUUCCACCUAUCACCUGGAGGAUCUCGCUCCAGUCCUGCCCCCGCUGCUGCUCUGCCGUCCGUUCCUCCUCUCCAGCACCACUUAAACCCAGAUAUUCAUACUGUGGAAUCAAUCCACCAUCAGUAGGAAUUUUUCCUGUCACCACUGUGGCCUUUUGGUGCUGGGUGAGAAAUUGCAGCAGAGGGAGAAUCCUAAUUUAUCGAGGGUUAGGAUUAAGGACUUGGAUAAUUAUUUCCUGUCUUGUCAUUAUGUGUGGAACAAUCUGCAAAUGAACAUUUUAAAAUACCAUGAUUGCCCAUUAACUGAUGUUAACACAAUUUCUAUUUCUAACUAACCUGCACAACUGGGUUUCUCAUUAAAACCUGCAGAAUUUUCAGUUGGUUUUUUUUUUUGGUUUGUUUGUAGUUUUGUUGUUUUUUUUCUUUUUGUUGUGCAAUCUGAUCUAAGCAUGCAUGCAGAAAUCCCAGUUACAGAAGGGGUUAAUGGAGCUUUUAUGAUCAUAGCUUGCUUCCUGACAGCGCUGUUAUGUCUGUGAACUCCUGGAAUCUGAUGUAAAACCUCUGUGUGAGAAACAUUUAACACCAUCAUCACAUCAUGGGGCAGGUCUAUGCCUUCCAAAACACCAGAAUUUUGCUGCCCAAUACUGUUUAUUAACCUCUAUCCCAAAUUUUUGUGCUGACCCCUCCUUACCUCACCACAAACUGGGAUUAACUGGGAGUCUCUGCUGUUUUCCUGCCCAGCAGAAAUGCAGGCUGAGGAUGCACUGGAGCUUCCCCAUCCCUUGUCAGCACUCUGCUGCUAUCAGAGUUAAAAUAUCUGCACUCCAGCUGGAAGCACAAACUUCCUGUUGGAAAAGUGAAAGGAACUGCUGGGAAGGAAGAACGAGCUCUGGAUGUCAGAGGUGCCUCAACAGUGCUAAACUUUAAUGGGGGAUGAGCUGCCUCUAUUUUUCCAUGCUGAGAUGCUCCCUGUUCUGUCUGCUCAGACUGACAGGUCUGAAAAUGAAUGAUUUUUCCUCAGUCAUGAUGGAUACCUUUCCCAGACAUAUUGUAGCAUAAUGGACAAAUAACUUCUCUUAAAGACUUGUCAUAUAAUUUGAAGGGGAAAAAAAAUUGUGCCCGAGACAGACAUUUCUAUCUAUAUCCUCUGGGAAUAAUGAGACCUUAGAACAGAGUCUAAGGCUAAGAGUUGGUUCAAAAUACUAUGAUGUGAUGUGCCCUUAUCUUAUUUCACAGAUAAGACAGGCAGACUGUUUCUUGCACAGAAAAUCAAAGCGCAGCCUGUAAAAUCAUAGGAAAUAAAACCCGACAACUGAAA